CGCGCCGCCCGGGCGCCGCGUGGGUCGGACGUCUCGGAGGCGGGACGAGCGCGAGGGGGCGUGGUCCGGAGUGUGCCCAGGUGGGAGGGGCGGGGCCGGCCGCCACCCUGGAGCUACGUUUGACAGUGUCUUCCCCGGAGGUGAAAAAGUCCCUGGAAAGUCACCAGCCAGCCCUGUCUUCCUCGCCUCCCCAGGUCUCCUUUUCUCCUUAGUCUUCAAGUUUUUUUUUAAUGCAGUAUCUGAGAUCUAUUUAAAUACCAUCUAGGUUAAUCUAAUGGCAGGUGUUCAACUUUGGAACACCUUACCAUGAUGUCAUCCGGCCCUGUAGUUAUCGAGGUGGACCAUCAUUUCUGGUAGAUCCAGUGGAGGCAGGAAGAUCAAGCAUUCAAGGCCAUCGUCUGCUUCGUGGGGAGUUCAAAGCAACCCUGGACCUCAUGGGACCCUGUCUCAAAUAACUAAAAGAAAAAGUAAAGAAAACAAAAUCAGAGAUUUCCGCUGAGCCAAAAACAGCAUAGCAAAACCCCAUGGAGGCAGCACUGGCAAAGCGGUAGCAGAAUAAGGACAGCGAAGAAAAUCCCCUUGGCUCCGGGAAAUCUGGAAACGGAGCAAGGCUCCACAUACAAAGCAGAUGCUUCUGGCAAAGAAAGAAUGGAUGAAAGAGAAGGGGCCGGCGUGAGCAACUGGAACCAGUUCUGAGAGCCUGGUGUGUUUAAGACAGGUAGCAAUGACCCUCUCUGCUUUGGAAAUCCCAGCUAAACACCCUGUGGAUUUGGGGGUUCCACCCACAGGACCAGUGAAUAUGCUCACUCUCGAGAGAUUGCUCCAGAACUCUACAUGAAGAACCUGUCUCGCCAUAUUUGCCAAAGUCACUCCCUUCCCAAAGCCUAAAAUAUGCUGUAGUGAAAGCCUAUGUGACCUGAGGCGUUCUGAAUCUGGUCUGUGCAAGCACUGAUUGCAUGACAAGAUCAAAAAGAUCAUUUCUCUUAACUCAGAACAUAGUGACAGAUACGCCCUUAUUCAUGAGAUUGCCUGCUGGUGCUGGAUUUCCAGGAGAUGCCAUUGUUCUUUCCUCCUCUGGUGCUAGGCUAUUGCUACCAGGAAAACACUGAAUUUCCUUUCAGAGGUGUGAUUACUUGGCUGCAGAGAUGACUGCACUAGCCAGCUGAUCUAAAUGCUGAACUAGACCCAGAAACCUGAAAGCACAAUCCACUGUAGUAGCAUAUAGUGUUUGGAGCUGCUACUGAGUAUUUUUAGAGGUUCCCUUCUGGUUUAGCAGCCCAAACUGGAAGAGAGGGGUCAAUAGAAAGACAGUAGGUUCUGAUCAUGACAGGCAACUCUUGUCACACUCUAGUUCCAGGGAAAUAUUCCAUUGUUUUCCCAUGUUGACAACCCCCUCUGAAAUCAGAACAUGUUAUGAAGGCAGGAGUCCUGGUUUGUUAUAUCUUCUAUCUCAGGACUUAAUGUUCAUGAAUGAAUGACAAAACCGUUUACACAAGGCUCCCAGAACUCAUGCAGCUGUGGGCCAAGCCAAGAGCCAUUCUGAACCUGGACAUCCCUAGAGCCUUGUUUUUACAGUGACCUGAUGUCACUUGUGUUUGCCCUCAGUGAGUUUUCGCAGUGAGCCUUCCCUCAGUCCCUUCACUGGGCUGCUCCAUCCUGUCAUCUAGACAAUAGAGGAGAAUAUGACAGGUUCAGUUGUAUUUUAAACUGUGUUUGCCUGGCAUGGUGGUACACACCUAUCAUCCUAGCACAGAGGAGGAGGAAUUGAGUCCAAGGUCUUCCUUGGCUGUAUGGGAAGUUUAAGGCCAGCCUGAGAAGAUCAGCACUGCUGCAGUUUUGGCUCAUGGUGCUCCCCAAUACAACUCACAAUUAAGUUAGAACACAAUAACACUCUGGUUAUAUGGCAGUUAAUGAAGUUAGUUGGCUCUAGAGUUAACCUGCCAAGAAUAGAUGUAAUACGUGUUGUUCUUACAUUAAAACAUUGUAAAACCAGUUUACUUUAAAAUGCUGAACCACAGAUGCAUGGGAACACAAUUAUGGGUGUAGAAGCCCAGAGGAUAUACCUCAGAUCUGUCUAACAUUAAAGAUGCCAGCAGUGUUUUCACAUAUGCUGUAGAAUGGGACAAAUAUCCUCUCCCCUGUCUGCCUUUUAAAAGAAGUGAGAAAAACUAAGUUUUAACAUAUAGUUCUAUAUAAAUACUUUGUAUGUGUGGGGUCCUUUAUGUGCAAUGACAAGCACAGCUUUUGUAAGCCAAUUCUUUCUGUCCACCAUGUGCGUUCUGGGGUCAAACUCAGAUCUCUAAGCUUGUCAGCAACCCUUGCCUGCUGAGCGGUCUCCCUGGCCUAAGUUUAUAAUUUUAAAAAGGAAAUGGCAAGCCAUAGAGUAGGAAGUUUUACGAUGAACACAGCAAAAAGAGGAAUCGAGUCCAAAAUGUUUAAGAAUUCCUACAAAUUGUCAGGUAGUGGUGCACAUGCCUUUAAUCCCAACACUCUGGAGGCAGAAGCAGGUGGAUCUGUAUGAGUUUGAGGCCAGCCUGAUCUUCAAAGAUAUUUCCAGGACCAUCUCCAAACCUACAGAGAAAAACAAAAACAAAAAAUUCCUACAAAUAAAUAUGAAAAAGAAAACACAUGCAAAAAAUGGACAAGAGAUUUGAAUGGGAAUUUUGUGAGGAGAAUAUCCGAUGGCCAAUAUACAAAUGACUCUCAGUGCCUUUAGUCACCAGGGAAUGCAAAUGAAAACUGUCCUGAGUUAAUGCCUCCCCCAACAUAAGGGCAGGAACAAGGAACAACUCCAAUUGCUCUUGUGUUAACAGGUUUUCUGUUGCUAUAUAUACAUCUGAGAUGA